CUUUACGGCGGCGGUGCGUGGGGAGCCGAAAGGCUCGCCGGGUUUCCUUGACCGGUUCGCCAACCUGCGCACCGUCCGCCACCUUC
rnacentral:antisense_RNA from 1 species